rnacentral:rRNA from 1 species
GGGGGGUGCUAAUACAUGCAAGUCGAGCGAAUGGAUUAAGAGCUUGCUCUUAUGAAGUUAGCGGCGGACGGGUGAGUAACACGUGGGUAACCUGCCCAUAAGACUGGGAUAACUCCGGGAAACCGGGGCUAAUACCGGAUAACAUUUUGCGCCGCAUGGCGCGAAAUUGAAAGGCGGCUUCGGCUGUCACUUAUGGAUGGACCCGCGUCGCAUUAGCUAGUUGGUGAGGUAACGGCUCACCAAGGCAACGAUGCGUAGCCGACCUGAGAGGGUGAUCGGCCACACUGGGACUGAGACACGGCCCAGACUCCUACGGGAGGCAGCAGUAGGGAAUCUUCCGCAAUGGACGAAAGUCUGACGGAGCAACGCCGCGUGAGUGAUGAAGGCUUUCGGGUCGUAAAACUCUGUUGUUAGGGAAGAACAAGUGCUAGUUGAAUAAGCUGGCACCUUGACGGUACCUAACCAGAAAGCCACGGCUAACUACGUGCCAGCAGCCGCGGUAAUACGUAGGUGGCAAGCGUUAUCCGGAAUUAUUGGGCGUAAAGCGCGCGCAGGUGGUUUCUUAAGUCUGAUGUGAAAGCCCACGGCUCAACCGUGGAGGGUCAUUGGAAACUGGGAGACUUGAGUGCAGAAGAGGAAAGUGGAAUUCCAUGUGUAGCGGUGAAAUGCGUAGAGAUAUGGAGGAACACCAGUGGCGAAGGCGACUUUCUGGUCUGUAACUGACACUGAGGCGCGAAA